CUGAGCUCAGUGUGAUCAAGAAGCUCAAGGAAAGGACACCUCUGUUCUUCCCUGGCCUUGUGGGAAGGGGCUGAAGAAUCAACACUUGAAGAACAAAGGAAGCAGCGUUGGACUCGGGAGUGAUCCUGACUGAAAGAUUCAGCCAGUAAGACUGUUGGAACUUGUGACAGGUAAACAUGUUCUGCUUGCUGAAGAUGCAAGAAGAAAAAGCACAGCACCAAUAUGAGACUUUCACAAUCUGUGGACAGAAGGAUCAGGACCAGGGGACAAUUCUGGUAUGAAGGGGGUUGGGGAGCAGUCUAUGAUCCACACAGGUUAACUUUCUUCCCGUAUUCAUGGGUCUACUGCAAGAUGUUCUAUAAAUUAUAGGUUUACACAUUAUAAAUGACAAAUCCAAUUACCGCUAAAGCAGGACGGCUCUUUCCAGCACCAGUCAGGCAACUAGAAAUUCAACAGAUGACCCACCACGUGUGUGCACACUAGGGAUUCUGCCGUAUCAGCUGCACACAUAUUUUGAUCACCUCUCAGCCGAGAGAAGUAAAGUGGUGGGGUUGUGACACUUUCAACGGUAGACCUUAUGUUAGUGUGUUUGCCUUUCCGGUUGUCCAUUGUGCACUUACUGUCAAAGAAGUUUGCUUUACACAAACACUCUCUGAAUAGACUUUAAAAUCCUUUCGUACACACACACGCACACCUCACAACUCUUUCUCCAAGUUCCUGGAGCCUGUCUCUCCCCCAGACAGGCGCCUGUAAUUGAUUAAAGAAAUUCCCGUCAGAAAAGAUCCGUCCUAGCUUUCUUCGCUUCCAAAGCAGAGCCGAUCUGUUGUGUUAACGAUCCCUGUGAAAUAAAAGUUGCUUUCCUCGACCCCCGGCUGUGACUUGCAAUCCCCCCUCGGCGGCUGGGUGCGGGCCGAGCCGAGGGGGCUCUGGAUGGGCACCUCGCUAGGUUCUGACCGCCCUGGAAAGGACUGGCGGGGCGGGGGGGCAGCCAGGAGCGAAUGCGGGACCGCACGGUACUCACCAUCCUC